UACGUAGGGGGAUAGCGUUGUCCGGAAUCAUUGGGCGUAAAGAGCGCGUAGGCGGCCAGAUAAGUCCGGUGUGAAAGUCACAGGCUCAACCUGUGAAUGCCGCUGGAAACUGUCUGGCUAGAGUCCGGGAGGGGCGAGUGGAAUUCCUGGUGUAGCGGUGAAAUGCGCAGAUAUCAGGAGGAACACCAGCGGCGAAGGCGGCGCUCUGGGCCGGUACUGACACUGAGGAGCGAAAGCGUGGGUAGCAAACAGG
rnacentral:rRNA from 1 species